AGGAUCUCUGGAUAUCUUUGAGCGGAAAGAUGUAAAAGAUAACAGAUGGGGUCUUUUGCAGAACCAGCUAUGGACUGACCAAAGGAAUAUGGAAUAUUUGUGCAUCGGUACGUGAAGGCACCUCCCCGCAAUGAUCGCAAGACUUGAUAAAAAUGGCUGCUAUCACAGAAUGUGAAGCUCAAUCAGGGAGUGAGGAAGACUGCCCCAAAGCAACUCCUGCAGGUAAAAUCCCUUCCCAGGUUCCUCAGGUGUUUGGAAGCGCUGGCACAAACUACAGGCCCAGCUCACAUUCUUCUCCAAUUUGUGUUGGGGCUAACCCAGUACUGCUGUGCUGGGCGGAUUUUUACACUCACAUUAUGAGCAUGAGACUCCAGUGACCACUGCUGUGAAGUUUAACACAAAUAGAUGUUCUGUAUCUGUGCCAAAACACACCGUUCAUUGGGGUGCUGCAGAUGAUACCUAAUGAGUAUAAUUCCCAGCAUUUCAGAGGUAGUGUUGGCUGAGAUUAGCAAGACUAACUCAAUAAAGCACAAUCAUAAUUGCAUAUUCACUGGGAAAGGGAAAAAUAAUCAAAUGAAAAAGGACAAAACCAGCAGGGAAAGAAAAUUUAUUUCCAAGCAUCUACGAGAGUGCUACAAACAAUAGAGACUAAAACUCAAAGCAUUUGAAACUUAAAAAAUGUAGUUGACAAUGUCCUUCUUAAAAAAUCAAACAUAAAAAUGUAGAAAAUGCAGUUAUUAAUUCUAAACCUUGCUCAAUAGUGAAACAAAACCAGAUAGAUAGCAUCAAUGAGGAUGGAGUCCUACAAAUGACUUUUUUUUUUUUAUUUCCAUUUGUUAAUUUGUAAAUUGAUACUCAUUUCAUUUUUUAAUAUUUAUUUAAAUUUAAAAUGGAGAAAUGUGCAAAUCUAGCAAAAUAUUCUUUGGAUUAUAAACAGAGAAAAAUCAUCAGCCAAAGAAAUUUGAACCAAGUUAAUAAUAAACUAUAGAAUUAUAUAGAAUGCAUACAGCUAUAAUAAAGUGAAAUAUAACAAUAAACAUUAUAGAGCAAAUCUGCUGAUUUAGCAAACUCUGCCUUAAAACAUAGGGAUAUAAUGGGACAAGUGAAUAUGUUGUGAUUAUAGAGCUGAAACGUCAUUCAUAAUUUUAAUGAGCUAAAUUUUAAUCUAACCUACAUACAUGGGGGUCUUCAGAAAAGCAAUACACCAACAGAUCAGAUUUCCUCUCAGAUCAAGCAGUUGGGUACCUGACUGCAAAUGAAGGACAGGGUCUGUAAAACGAACAGUAGAAAAAUGGAUAUCGCUUCUAUUUAUUGCCACUUCCCAUAUUGCAGCUGCUGAUCUCUGACCCUAAACAGCAAACUAUAUUAAAUUUAGAAGAACUACAGCUGUACACAGAUGCUGAAAAUGUGGAUGCACGGAACACAUUCCGAUCCCUCGCUCAUUCUGAACUAAUAUAAAAAAAGUUAUAGAUCAUUUUUCGAUUAAAAACAUACAUUACAAAGAACGACUCUGAAAGCACUCCGUAUUUCUGUCAUCACAAAUUAAAACACCUUCCUAUCAGUGGAUGAUUCUAUUCUACUGCAAUAAAUGAAAAAUAAAAUAAAAGUAAGUGCCAGAAUCUUAAUUAAUAUUACGUAAGGUAAUUGUCAGGUAGAACAGUCUUUAGGGAACUUAUAGCUAAAUGGGGUCAGAUUUCAGUUUCUAAAACCCACAGUUUAGCACAGACAGGGAAAUCACAGCCUGGAGUAAGCUGUAAGCACAGAGUACUCCCGUCCACUUCUAAAGUCAGUUCUGAAACCUCUGGAAUUCCUAAGACGUAAGAUAAAUGCAUAUUAUAUGGGACAUAUUUAAAGGUAUUACACUUAAUUUAAUCCAGAAAACACAGUAGUAUUAUAGGAAGAUUAUUACUGUGUUCUGGGAGCAGCCACAAGCUGUAGAUAGAGGGUACAAAAUGUUCACCAGACGUUACAUUUUUUUUUUUUAAUCUAAGAAACAUUUUUAAAAUGUACUUGAUUUUUAAAUAAUCACUUAACAAGGCAACAAACCAAUUACAAACACAUAAUAAAUAAGGCUAUUAAAAGGUCACAACUGUAGUAAAUUAGUCAGAACUAUAAAUGGGACAUUAGAAACACUAUGUUUUGUUCUUAUAUGCUUAAUAACCAGAACAAGAAUUAAAAAAGAAUCAGUUUAUUUCAAAGUCUGCUUCUUAUAUUGAAGCACAUAUUAAAGCAACAGUACAAUGUUCAUAAAAUAUAAGUGUGAUGCUGUAACAUUUCUUACAUGUCAGAAUACUGAUAUUUGUAUGUAUACUAAAAUAAGAAUUUUAAAAUUGUACAAAUAGAUACAUUAAAAAUGACAUAGAAAUAGGGCGCCUCCCACUGCAACAAGACAGAGUUUUUAUAUCUGGCACGUAUUAGUUCAAGAUGAAAGUAUAAGCAAAAAGAUUUACAAGAAUCAGCUGUAACAAGUUUGAUGCUCAAGAGACAUAAUAAUUGUACAUUGUACUGUACAUACAUCAUAUGGGUUUAAGCUGGCUGAAUAUUAUAUAUUUCAAGUUUAAAAAUGCACUACCAUAUAGAGUGUCCAUAGUUUAAGGCGAAAUUACAGCUCAGAACUGUUAACUUUUCUAAUUUGUGGAAGCUUCUUUGACAUAAAAGAUUUAGAUGUUCAUAAUACAUAAAAGAUUUCCCUUCUUUGUAGGUUCACUUUUAGCAUCUUCCUUCAUUUAAAUAUUCUGUGUUUCUUAAGUGGGUUUUUUCCUCUAGUGAAGUUGGCAGCCAACUUCUGCAUUUGCCUUUUGUAGGAAAAGGUACUUCACAGUAUUUACCACUUUUAUGUCCUUUUUUAUCAAAGGAAUCCCUUCUGUCAAAUGUUUAAAUGAGACUUUUCUUGAUUUUUAAAAAAAUACCUGCUUACAUUUCUUCUGGAUUCUUCAGAAC
ensembl:lncRNA